GAUGAACGCUGGCGGCGUGCCUAAUACAUGCAAGUCGAACGAAACUUCUUUAUCACCGAGUGCUUGCACUCACCGAUAAAGAGUUGAGUGGCGAACGGGUGAGUAACACGUGGGCAACCUGCCCAAAAGAGGGGGAUAACACUUGGAAACAGGUGCUAAUACCGCAUAACCAUAGUUACCGCAUGGUAACUAUGUAAAAGGUGGCUAUACUACCGCUUUUGGAUGGGCCCGCGGCGCAUUAGCUAGUUGGUAGGGUAAAGGCUUACCAAGGCAAUGACGCGUAGACGAAUUGUGAGGUUGAGCGGCCACAUUGGGACUGAGACACGGCCCAAACUCCUACGGGAGGCAGCAGUAUGGAAUCUUCCACAAUGGGCGAAAGCCUGAUGGAGCAACGCCGCGUGGGUGAAGAAGGUCUUCGGAUCGUAAAACCCUGUUGUUAGAGAAGAAAGUGCGUGAGAGUAACUGUUCACGUUUCGACGGUAUCUAACCGGAAAGCCACGGCUAACUACGUG
rnacentral:rRNA from 1 species